UGCAAUGCUCGAUACCUUCUUCUGCUAUCUGCUUUAAAAUAUCCUGGUUAGUUUUCCAGUGCUGGUGUUUCUCACCACAACUCCCCUAUUUACCUAGGGAGAAAAUGGGGCAGUGACCUCAUAGGAGGAAAACAAAAGGGACACAUUCCCUCCAGAGCAAGUAAGUAGGUCAGCGCCGUGGGGCGGGCUGGAAGCGGAGCCUGCGGUGCCCAGGGGGUGGCUGGAGGAGGUUGGGCAAGCAGCAGAGCUGCUCGGGGCAGAGACGAGGCUCUUGGUGCUGGUGUUCCUGCAAGUGGGAAGCAAAGAUCGGAAACUGAUGUGAGAUGCCAAGAGGUUGGGCAGCAUGGAUUUGCAGCAGAAGGACAAAGAGAAGAGCAAAGUCUUCAAGGUUAACAUGAAGAUGAGAUACGUUAGGAGUGAUGCAGAUAAACCUGUGGCCACCAAAUUCC
rnacentral:lncRNA from 1 species